rnacentral:rRNA from 1 species
CAGAGACUGCAAGCGUUAUUCGGAUUCACUGGGCGUAAAGGGUGCGCAGGCGGUUGGGUGUGUCAGAUGUGAAAUCCCGAGGCUCAACCUCGGAACUGCGUCUGAAACUACUCGACUAGAGUACUGGAGAGGGUAACGGAAUUCACGGUGUAGCAGUGAAAUGCGUAGAUAUCGUGAGGAACACCAGAGGCGAAGGCGGUUACCUGGACAGUUACUGACGCUCAGGCACGAAAGCAUGGGGAGCAAAAGGGAUUAGAUACCCCUGUAGUCCAUGCCCUAAACGGUGCACACUAGGUCUUAGCGGAUUCGACCCCAUAGGGCCCAAGCAAACGCGUUAAGUGUGCCGCCUGAGGACUACGGUCGCAAGACUA